GGAUUGUGGCUCAGUGGUAGAGCACUCGCCUCACAUGUGUGCAAGGCCCUGGGUUCAAUCCUCAGCACCA
rnacentral:tRNA from 1 species